GUAACUCUAGGGUGCAUGAAUAUUCUGCUUAUCAGCUCGCAAUCUGGAAGUCACUGAGUGCAUGAAGAUGUGACUUCAUUUGAAUGGAUGCAGGCAUCUUCCAGAGGUCUGGUGGCAUAUUUGGGAAUCACAGCUGUCUGCAUUCCACUGCACCUCUAUUUAAAGCGACCUUUGCUGCAAACCUCCAAUUGUUGUUCCAUUCCAAUAAAACUUGUAAAACCAACAGGACGCUAUGAGCAACACGGCCCAGCUGAGCGCCUCUCGGUAUGUCGUCCCGGUCCUGCUCAUGGUGGGCUGGGUAGUGGGAUGUGCGGUAGUGGUCUAUUUUGUAUUUUCAUAGGAAGAAAUAUAAAAAGAGACUAAGAACAACAUGUCACAAGAAUCAAGAUCUGUUUAGUAUGUGUGAAUAUCCUGAAGCAAAUUGAGCAUCCUCAUGUAAAUACAAAACAUGCUUUAAAUAACCUGUAAUGCUGUACCAAACAAGCUUUGUUUUCAUUUUUCUGAGCUGUCAUCCAUGUUUUUAGAGGCAUUUAUGAGAUAGUCAACUGAUUUGUCAGUUAACAAAUUGUAUUAAAUGAAUUCCUUUGUUUUAUUUUUUAUAGACAUAAUGCUAUUCAUUAUCUACAUAAGAUCUUACAACAACUGUAAUGGCCAUUUAUGAGGGUUUAUCUUUUUCCCUUUGUAUUUCAAACACUGAUGAUUAUCAUAUCAGUAAUGUGGACUGUGAAUAUCAAAUAAUUACCUUUGUUACCCAAAGAAUGAGCAAGAAACCAACGAACUUCACUACUUUAAUCAAUUUACUAUUUUAAAUAUAUUCCUUUUUAAGAGUGCAAUAACCCAAUUUAUUAACAUAAUAGAAGUAAUUAAGUCCUGCAAUACCAUAUAUUCUCUUAUUUAGUUGGAAAUUACACAAUCUCAUUUAGUCGGCUUUAUGCCAGAGCUGUGCUUGGUUUAAUCUACUAGCACAUUACUCUUUGGGCACACUCAACAUAAUUGUUAAAAACAUUGAGCAUUUUCAGUAAAUUGUUACAAGCAUGCCAGAGGUCACUAAUUUGAAGACAGAUUUGAGCAUUAGGUGCUGUGAGUGAUACAGUUUCCCUGGUAACAGGAAAAUCAUAGCCCUUUCCAAGAAUCCAUCUUCUAAAUUGGGAGAGCUUUUACAGUGAUACAUAGUACUGUAUAUCUAUAUGAACAACUAACGCAAAGCCUUAAAUGCAUAGUAGUCCCCCAUAGUGAUUCAUCAGAAACUCCUCAGUAACUGAUUGUCUUUCUGAUAAAUUAUUUGUACACGAUAAAACACAAUACAUAAAAGUCAUGUUUUUCGAACCACAAUCCAUUUACUUUUGUUUUUCCUUGGCAAAACAAUGUUGAUCUAUUUGCAGCAUUUAUCCUUAAAGGAGAGGACAGUGCCACUAAUGAUAUGUAACAUGCAAAGACAGAUGUACACAUGCAGUAUGUCUUUUAGAUUCCUCUGUAAAACACUACUGUUAUUAUUUUUCCAUUAAGAAGGCCGCUGACACACAGAUCACCUCAGAUGAAUUAGUUCAGAAGUUUGUCCACAGUUUGUUCACAGAGAAAGCCUCAUGCGUUUGUGCCAUUUCUUUAAGAGCCCAUUGACAUGCAGAGGUAACAGAUUGAAUAACCAAAGAGAGAAGAUUUCAGGACCAUCUAGUAGAGUGGCAGCAGUAGGAGGCUAAGAAUAGCUUUAAAGUGUCAUUUCUAAUGCCUCCUAAUACCAUUUGCACCCUAUUACUGUGAAAUACUGUACAUUUCAAAGCCAGACCUUGAAAAACAUCUGUCAUUUCCUGAUUAUGUAAACACAUAUACUAUUUUUUUUCAUUAAAACAGUGUUGGGGAUAAAAUUGCCUAACAUAUAACCACCGGUUCCAAGAUACAGUCUGCUGCAGGCCUGUAAUCCUAGUCCUUGAAGACGGGGAAAAAAAAUAGAAAAUGGACUGGCCUCCAUAUUUGUAUUAAAUGACUCAUUUAAUAAGCAAGAUCUUUGUAUUUUUGUACCUAGGAACUAAAAUUUAGAACAUGUAUAUUAUUGCCACUGUGCACAUUUUGUGCAUUUAUGCAUUCAUGGGAAGUACAUGUACUGUAUAAUACCCACAGUCUAAAAUUCUACAUGAGAGGUUUUGAACCUCAUUGUACAAAUCUGAAGACUGCAGAUGACUUUUUAAAGGGAUGCACGGAAACAGAGCCAAGAUAAGCAACCUUUCAUGCAUUCUGACAGAAGGAAAGACUUCAUUUUUUUUGCAUUGGAAUAAAGGGGUAUUAACAUCCCAGCAGUAAAAAGCCACAUGACAUUGAAUGAGGGAAGCCAGUUUAAUCACAGAUCAAAACAGUCUUUGCUCCAAAAUUCAGCUAAGAACAGUAAGCAGCCUUUCGCCUUGUUGCAUUCCACUGAGGUUAUACAGGGAGAGCAAGUGUCUAUUUCAGCCUUUUCAAAUCAAUGAUGUGUCUCCAGUUUAUUUCAACUGACAGAUCUUUCUGUGGAUCCCUGACCUCUCCCACCAGGUGACAUAUUUUCCACUCCAUAUUUCAAACCUGUCAGAGGCUGUAGUACUGCCAAGUUAUUUGCAUGGUGGCUGAAAUGGCAGGCCACAAGUGUAACAGGGAAAAGCAGGCCAUGUACUUAAUGCAUCUGACUUUCACACACCGAAUCACUUUCUCCAGAACUUGUUUGGGGUUUGAAAGUCCUGGCAUCAGCUUCUUGCACUAUACCACAGCAGGCAGCUUGAACCUCUACGGCUCACAGUACAAUUGCCAAUUGUGACAUGAGAUUUGGAAGCUUCAUAAUUUAUCCCUAACAUACCUGUGACCUGUGAGGCCAUCAAAAACCACUACCUGCAAAAUGAAGUAGGUUGAAAAUAAAAUAAUCCUAAGAAAAAAAUGCAUAUUUUUCCUUUUUCUCUGCUUUUGUAGUGGAUAUUGCUUUCAAACAUAGCCGAAAUGCAAAAGUUUUAAAUCUGAUUCCGAAAUCAUCAUGGAGUACAGUGAUAAAGACGCAAGG
ensembl:lincRNA